rnacentral:rRNA from 1 species
UACGUAGGGGGCCAGCGUUGUCCGGAAUCAUUGGGCGUAAAGCGCGCGUAGGCGGCCAGAUAAGUCCGGUGUGAAAGUCAAAGGCUCAACCUUUGAAUGCCGCUGGAAACUGCCUGGCUUGAGUCCGGAAGGGGCGAGUGGAAUUCCUGGUGUAGCGGUGAAAUGCGCAGAUAUCAGGAGGAACACCGAUGGCGAAGGCAGGUCUCUGGGCCACUACUGACGCUGAGAAGCGAAAGCAUGGGGAGCGAACAGG